rnacentral:rRNA from 1 species
UACGUAGGGUGCAAGCGUUAAUCGGAAUUACUGGGCGUAAAGCGUGCGCAGGCGGUUGUGCAAGACCGAUGUGAAAUCCCCGGGCUUAACCUGGGAAUGGCAUUGGUGACUGCACGGCUAGAGUGUGUCAGAGGGGGGUAGAAUUCCACGUGUAGCAGUGAAAAUGCGUAGAGAUGUGGAGGAAUACCGAUGGCGAAGGCAGCCCCCCUGGGA